rnacentral:rRNA from 1 species
AAAUGCCGAAGAGCGUGAACAAGGCCAUGCGGUUGAAAAGAUGAAUAGCCUGGAAAAGAAAAAGCUCUUUCUAAAAUUCAGAUAAUGGACGGUACCAACAGAGAAACCACGGGCUAACUCUGUGCCAGCAGCCGCGAAAAUACAGAGGGGGCAAGUGUUAUAUGGAAUUAAUUGGGUGUAAGAGCGUGUGUAGGCGGCUAUUUAAUUAGGAUUGAAAUGCCGGGGGUCAACCCUGGAAAUUGCAUUGGAAAUUGUAUAGUUGAAUAUCGAAAGAGGGAGUGGAAAUUCGAGGGGAGAGGGGGAAAUGGGUAAAUAUCGGAAGAAACACAGAGGGGGAAGGCAAUCGCUGGUGCGGUAUUGGAGGUGAAGUCAGAAAAGGGGGGGAAGAAACCAGGAUAAAAUACCUGGGUAUUCCCCGCGUUAAAGAAGGAAAAUAUGAGGUCGGAGUGUUAUGUGAGGGGGGGGCGGAGAUAACACUAUAAUUUCUCCGCGUGGAGAGUGGGGGCACAAGGAAGAAACAAAAAAGAAGAGAGGGGGGCCCACACAAGCGGGAGAGUAUGUGGUAUAUUUAGAUGAAGCGCGAAGAACCUUCCGUCGUCUACAUAUGUCAAGAAUCUUGCAGAGAUGGAGGAGUUCAUUUGGGAAGUAGAAGCACAGAUGUGGCAGAGGUGUCGUCACAUCGUGUCGUUGAGAUGAUGGUGGUAAUUAGUCGCAAAGAGAGCAAACCCCUCCCCUAGUAGCCAUCAUCAAUGCAUGGGCAGCACUAAGGGGAGCAGCCGGUGACAAACCGGAAGAAGAAGGGGAGGACGACAAGACAUCAUGACCGUCAUGACCAGGGGGACACAACUAGUGCAACAAUGGGUACAGAAGGUGGCCAAGACGCGAGGAGGAGGAAAUACCAAAAAAAAGAUAUUAGUCUGGAGAGGACUCUGCAAAUCGAGUGCACAACGCCCGUAGAGUUGAUCCUGGCUCAGCACACACCGCCCGCGGCGCUACUACU